rnacentral:lncRNA from 12 species
AUUAUGACUUGUAUUUGACCUCUUUAAAAAAUUGCUCUCAUCUGGCCUGAAGAACUCUUCAUGUUUUCUUUUUACAGCUCUUUUACUUGCAGUUUUUGCCACAGGUUGCAUCCCGCUUCAUACUCCUGGAAGCACUUAUUCACCAGGAGCUAUGGGUAGUACUCCAGAGAGAGGUCCAGGGAGCACCUUUCCAGCCCACCACAUUCCAGCUUCAGAGCUUCUUGUCCUGUACUUUGGCAUCUCCACCCUCCAAAACGGGGCACCCACGGCACGGCCUAGGACCAAAGUGCAGGAUCAGGGGCAUGGAACAAAAACUGCCUUGGGAGAUGAAAAGAAGUGAGAAGAUGCCAUGGAUGAGGGGAGACACCUUGGGUGGGCAGGAAGGAUGCCCACACCU